UGCCGUUGAAUUUGUGUGUGCUGUGUGUCUGCAUGUGUGAACAACCGCGAAGUUAUCGAUUGAUCAUUGAACACAGUUUUCCGAAAUAGCGAAGUGGGAAGGCGUUUCAGUACAUCUGUGUUUCGGUAGUGUGGUUUCGUGCCGCAUAUCUGUAACUUGAAAGCUCAAAGUUGUUUCUCGAUUCUGUUAUUUACACGUUCGUCAUGAGCGCCAUCGGUGGUAAUGAUGAAAUGGUAACGAAUAGACUGAAAGCCUUAACAGAUAAGCUUGAAGAAAUGGAUGCAAAUUUAUUGAGAGUUAAGAGGGAAUAUAAAGAAUUUCUGGAACUUAACAGGACUGUUUGUAGUUAUAUUCAAGCCUCCAUCAGAAGUGUCAGCUACGAUGAAGAAAAUCCUGACACAAGAAACCCUGGGAGUCAGCAACGAUGAAGAAAAUCCUGACACACAAAACGCUGGAAGUUAAUAAAACAGAAUUUUGGUGCAUUUCGUUGGUAUUAUCAGUUCUGAAUUUGUGCACACUCAGCAGCAAGCAAUGUAUCGAGAUGUUCAAAAAUUAAAAUUUGUUUCCGAUACCUGAGUAAUUGCUUCUACAUCAGGUGCUUUAUUUGGAAUGUCUUUUUAUUUAUGAAAUGCCAUCAAUUACGGUUAAGUGUGGUGAUAAUGCAAUUUCUGUAGAGGUAUAUAAGUAAUUCCAGGCCUUUUUGUCUUUCAUGUGUAAUCGAAAAGUUGAUUGUGACUGCGACAUACAGCGUACACGAAAAUGUUUCCAUGUUUGUUCCAGUGCAGCCUGAUGAAGACAGUUCCAUAAGUAGAGAAGCAUAAUUGCAAUACUGUAUGCUAAUGGAUGGAAGAGGUGAAAUAUCCACAACAUGUGUGAUGGUCUCUGUACUUUAAGUUGGCUUUGAUAUGAGGCUGUUAAAGUAGGCCUAGCCUACAAGCUGAUAGAUCUUGCACAUAUACUUAUUCAAAUUUCAUUGGACAUACUUGUUAAUAAGCAGCUUACAGCUUUUAGUGAAUUUGAGUAUGUGAUUUUUAUUUUGAAGGUGUCAGCUUUGCUUUAUAUUAGUGUCAAGAAGUUGCAUGUAAUGAGACUGAAAUAAAAAUAUAUAGACACAAUUGUUUGUUGCAUAAUGCUGACUUUUUUCACGUUAUUCCUUGACAGAGAAACCAAAGAGAGUCUAAAAUGAUGUUCUGAUAAUAGAAUAACCAAAUAAAUGGAAAAAUGACGUUUCAUGUGAUGAAUAUGUGCCUUAGGAUAAUCUUACUGUCAAGUGAAUUUGCUCUUAGAUUUGAUGCAUCUUGUGGAAAAACAAAUUUUUCUUCUUUUAUCUGGACAUGGGUCUCUGAAGUAACAGCACAAGUGUUUUUUAUUUUUUUUAUCACAUGCUGUGGUUUUGUGUUUUGUAAAACAGUUGUGAUUUUUGUUUUUUCAGUUUCAUUUGUGCUUGUUACAAGUUUCACUUUAAAAUUGCAGUUUUUCAUGAUGAAGAUUGAGGAAACAAAAACAAACUGUGUAAGAAAAAUGUAGAGAACCAUAGCAUGUGGUAACAAGAAAGGAAAUAAACUGAUGCUGUAACUCUAUUGGAUUAAUUAUCUGGUAUAAUGAAGUACAUCACUUUCAUUAUGACAAUUUCAGAACCUCCUAAAAUCCUGGUGCCUGGAAAGUAGAUAGUGGAAAGUUCAUUUGUGUAUGUAUGUAUGUAUAGUUUUAAGAGUGUAUUGGAUAAGUUGACGAAAUAAAAUAUGUACAGUUGUGGAAAUGAACAUAAUACAUUCACUUUGAGAGUUUAUCGGAAUAUGUAGACUUAGGUAUGUAAAUUUCACUGACUCUGCUUGCAUUAAACAGACUUUGACUGUGCUAGUGUGUACACCAUUGGUCAUUAAAAGCUGUGACACCAGAUAGGGUAGCAAAUAAUGAAACAUUACUUAUUGUAUGUAUGCUGUGUAGCAGGAACAAUACUUGGUGAUUAAUUUCUUAGAUACUUUAGGAGUAUACAGGGUGUGAAAUAGUGCUCAGAGCUGCCAUCUUAGGCAGCAACAAUGGAUGUGACCCAACUUGGCACUCUGUCGAAUUGAGCUUGGGUCACGUCAGUUCUACGACAGAGUUGAUGGUCAUAGUUCGUGGCAAGUGAUGAAGUUCCAGAGGAUUGCAAUGGGUGAGAGAUCUGGAAAACAUGCUGCCUCUAAAGUAACACUUUCUGUUUCAGUCUUAGGCCAUCAUGUUGGAAGAUGGCAGGGAGACCUCAAAGAUAGGGCACACUUACUGACCUUUACAUGUCAUAAAUGUAAUUGCGGCUGUUCAAAUUAUGUUAUACACAAAGUGGAAGGGAUAAUUGUGUGCUCAGUGGCACAACAUAUCAUGUCAGGUGCUGGGUUUGAAAUGAGGAUGACAAAUGCAGUCGGGCAGCAUUUUCCCAUGGAGUUUCCUCUCAUGGACACGACCAUUGUGCUGCUGUACAUAGGGGUGGAACGUGCCUGAAAAAAUGACAUGGUGUGCAGUGUUGUCAUUGCUUGCCUCUCUGCUGCUGUGUUGAGAGUAUGUAAUCAACACUUCCAUGGAAGAACAUUUUCUUCCUCACUACAAUCGACACAAUGUAACUGCACUCUUCAAUUUUCCGAAGGCACUCCUAGUUAAACAAUGUUAAGUCAGUGUUCAUGUAUGGUUGAUCACCUUUAUAAA